rnacentral:rRNA from 1 species
AUACAGAGGGUGCAAGCGUUAUUCGGAAUUACUGGGCGUAAAGCGCGCGUAGGCGGCUGAUUAAGUCAGUUGUGAAAGCCCUGGGCUCAACCUAGGAACAGCAUCUGAUACUGGUCAUCUAGAGUUUAAGAGAGGGAAGUGGAAUUCCAGGUGUAGCAGUGAAAUGCGUAGAUAUCUGGAGGAACAUCAGUGGCGAAGGCGACUUCCUGGCUUAGAACUGACGCUGAGGUGCGAAAGCGUGGGUAGCGAACGGGAUUAGAAACCCUAGUAGUCC